rnacentral:rRNA from 1 species
UACGUAGGGCGCAAGCGUUGUCCGGAAUUAUUGGGCGUAAAGAGCUCGUAGGCGGUCUGUUACGUCCGCUGUGAAAACCCAGGGCUUAACCCUGGGCUUGCAGUGGAUACGGGUAGACUAGAGGCAGGUAGGGGAGAAUGGAAUUCCCGGUGUAGCGGUGAAAUGCGCAGAUAUCAGGAGGAACACCGGUGGCGAAGGCGGCUUGCUGGGCCAGUUCUGACGCUGAGGAGCGAAAGCGUGGGGAGCGAACAGG